rnacentral:rRNA from 1 species
AUUGAACGCUGGCGGCAGGCCUAACACAUGCAAGUCGAGCGGCGCGGCAGACGGGUAAGUAAUGCCUAGGAAUCUGCCUGGUAGUGGGGGAUAACGUCCGGAAACGGGAGCUAAUACCGCAAACUCUCAGAUGAGCCUAGGUCGGAUUAGCUAGUUGGUGGGGUAAAGGCCUACCAAGGCGACGAUCCGUAACUGGUCUGAGAGGAUGAUCAGUCACACUGGAACUGAGACACGGUCCAGACUCCUACGGGAGGCAGCAGUGGGGAAUAUUGGACAAUGGGCGAAAGCCUGAUCCAGCCAUGCCGCGUGUGUGAAGAAGGUCUUCGGAUUGUAAAGCACUUUAAGCUGGGAGGCGUUACCAACAGAAUAAGCACCGGCUAACUUCGUGCCAGCAGCCGCGGUAAUAC